CUAAGGUUUCCAGAGGAAGGCUCGUCCGCUCUGGGUUAGUCGGGUCCUAAGCUGAGGCCGACAGGCGUAGGCGAUGGAUAACAGGUUGAUAUUCCUGUACCACCUAUAAUCGUUUUAAUCGAUGGGGGGACGCAGUAGGAUAGGCGAAGCGUGCGAUUGGAUUGCACGUCUAAGCAGUAAGGCUGAGUAUUAGGCAAAUCCGGUACUCGUUAAGGCUGAGC
rnacentral:rRNA from 1 species